CUAAACGUGGAGUUAAUCAAUUUUUUUUUGUUCUAUUCUCAACUAUACUUUUAUUUGUCGAUAAUUAUUAAAUGUAAAAAUUGGAAAUAAAAAAAAAAAAAAUAAUAAAGCUGUAAUUAUGUCGGUAAAAUACUCUCUAGCUCUCUGGAAUUUGAACUCUGAAGUUUGUCUAUUAAUAGAAAAAAUUGUUAAAGACUCUAUAAUUAAAUGCAAGGAUGACAAAAGUUUUACUGGCUAUCUCACUUAUGGUGAAAUUCUUGGUACUUUGCAUUAUCGCGAAGUCACAGCUAGGUUUUUAGCUGGUUUAUACAAUGAUGAUGUUUGUAGUUCAAACAUCGUUGCAACUUUUGGUGAAUCCUUUGGUUUUACAUUAAUUAUGUCUCAAUUUUUUGAAGCUGGUGACUAUCUUUUCGUUGAAGAUUUAACAUUUGAUUUUAUUACAAAAAAUGCAAGUAAUUAUGGAAUGAAUGUAAUACCAGUUGUAAGUGAUAAUGAUGGAAUUAGCAUAGAGAAAUUAGAAGCAUCUUUAUUAAUGUAUCAAAGUACCAGGCGAAAAAUUUCAGAAAAAAAACCAUUUUCAGCUAUGAUUUAUUUACUCAGUGUUUGCCAUAAUCCAAAAGGAACAUCUUAUUCAGAUGUUUGCUGCAUGAAAAUUGUUGAAUUAGCAAGAAAAUAUAAUGUUCUGGUAGUUACUGAUGAUGUAUAUAAUUUUUUUCAAUAUGGAGAGAGUGUUGCUAAUAGGUUAAUCAAGUUUGACAAAAUAAAAGGUUCACCUUAUAACCAUGGAAACAUAGUUUCAAAUGGUAGUUUCAGCAAAGUUUUGUUUCCCUCGUUGCGCUUAGGAUGGUUAGAAUGUUCCCAUUGGAUUGCGGACGAGUUAAAGCAAAGGGGAGACUUUAUGUGCGGCGGAGGUUGUCAAACGUUUAAUCAACAUUUGUGUGUUAGUAUUCUUAAUCAUCCUUCCUUAAAUCAAUAUCUUAAUGAUUUAAAAAUGUGCUAUAAGAAAUUACUUGAAACAGCUAUUUCUUUCAUGAAUGAUAAUUGUCCCAAACAAAUAAAAUUUACUAAACCUGAGAUGCUGCUUGAUUUUUGACUAUGUAGUAAUGGUCUCUUGAUUGCUCUAUUUGUUGACAAGUUUUUUUAUUAAAAUCAUCCACUGGAAGAGUUACUGGAACUAUAUCAUGUUUGUUGUUGGGUUUUUAGAUCUAGUGAUGCACUUGCCAUUAAUUUUUUGUUACAAUAUAGAAAGUGUUCAUUUUUUCUAUGGAUUGAGCUUCCUAAAAACAUCAACUCAAAAGAUUUACUGAAAGCCUGUAAUGCUAAAGGUGUUGACUUUAUGGAAGGCAGCAA
rnacentral:misc_RNA from 1 species